rnacentral:misc_RNA from 1 species
AAGUCGUAACAAGGUAACCGUAGGUGAACCUGCGGUUGGAUCAUUAACAAUAAUGGAAAGGCCAAGUCCGAAAGGGUUGGUUCUUUUUCAACACCCUUGUGAACUGUUAUUGUCUCUGGUGGGUUAAAAUGUCUCUUUGAGACAGGUCUAUACCACCCACCUAUUAUAAACUACAUGUUGAUGCAGUCGUCUCCAGUUUUCUAAUUGUAACAAGAAACAACUUUUGACAACGGAUCUCUUGGUUCUC